rnacentral:lncRNA from 1 species
CGUUACACCCUUUCUUGACAAAACCUAACUUGCGCAGAAACCGAGAUGAGAUUGGCAUGGCUUUAUUUGUUUUUGUUUUUUUUUUUUUAAUUUUUGUUUUUGAUUUUUUAAUGUAUGAGAUGGUUUUACCCUUCAAAUAAUAAUACUCAAUAUAAAAGGAUUUAAAUUUAUGCCAAGAAGGUG